rnacentral:rRNA from 1 species
UACGUAGGGGGCAAGCGUUGUCCGGAAUCAUUGGGCGUAAAGAGCGCGUAGGCGGCCCGGUAAGUCCGCUCUGAAAGUCCAGGGCUCAACCCUGGAAAGCGGGUGGAUACUGCCGGGCUAGAAUCCGGAAGAGGCGAGUGGAAUUCCUGGUGUAGCGGUGGAAUGCGCAGAUAUCAGGAGGAACACCAAUAGCGAAGGCAGCUCGCUGGGACGGUAUUGACGCUAAGGCGCGAAAGCGUGGGGAGCAAACAGG